CGCCUAGAACAGUGCUCUAAACAUAGGCCAGCUGCUAGGUGGACUGGCUUUUGUUGCCCACUUGCCUGCUGGAAGGUUCCGAAGAAUCCAGUGGACUGAGCUGGAGGAAAAGUCAAAUUACUGGAGGAGACACAGUUUGGUCUCCCAAACAGAAGAGCCAGAACAAGGAUGACCAAAUACCAUGACGGUUUGAUUGAAGAAAUCAGCAGUCACGGAAGUCAGCCUCGACUGCAGCCCCACCGCAGGGUGGCCACAACACACCGGUGUCUCCUUUGGUCAGGGCCACCGUGGGCCUCGCUCGCUUGGCAAGCCGAUGGGCAGAGCCAGCGGAAGCCUACAGUCCUGGAUCGACACUUCUGGCUGGCACCAUUAAGGCUUCCCGGAGGUGAGGCGGAGGAUUAAUUGAGUACCCCCGGAUCAGGUCUCACCCAUUUAAAGUCCUUGGAGUCGACCCAUUAAGUGAAUCGCCCUUCAGAAGUGGCCGGUUUCAUCUCAACAGCCCAUGUGGUGUUUGGACACCGCAGGACGGGCGCUACCGACUUGGAAGAGCCGGUGAUGAGACCGGGCCCCAGCAGAGACUCUCUCUGCUCCUGGAUAUUCUGGACAAGUCACUUAGCUUCUCUGGGUCUUCAUUUCUUCAUCUGGGAAACGGGGAUUAAAUAUCCACUUUCUC